rnacentral:sRNA from 1 species
UGUGUUCAACUUUUGUGGAUGUUUCCACAUGAUUUUCCAAAGUGAAACCCUGUUUUGAGAUCUGGAAUAUUGACUGUCUUUCACUCUCCUUGGACCCUAGGGCUACAGAACUGGCUACCCUUAUCGAUACCCUGCUCUGAGAGAGAAGUCUAAAAAAUACAGCGAUGUGGAGGUUCCUGCUAGUGUCACAGGUUACUCCUUUGCUAGUGACGGUGAUUCGGGCACUUGCUCCCCACUCAGACACAGUUUUCAGAAGCAGCAGCGGGAGAAGACAAGAUGGCUGAACUCUGGCCGGGGCGACGAAGCUUCCGAGGAAGGGCAGAAUGGAAGCAGUCCCAAGUCGAAGACUAAGUGGACUAAAGAGGAUGGACAUAGAACUUCCACCUCUGCUGUCCCUAACCUGUUUGUUCCAUUGAACACUAA